UACGGAGGAUGCGAGCGUUAUCCGGAUUUAUUGGGUUUAAAGGGUGCGCAGGCGGGAUCUUAAGUCAGCGGUGAAAUCUCCAGGCUCAACCUGGAACCUGCCGUUGAAACUGGGAUUCUUGAGUGUAGAUGAAGUAGGCGGAAUUCGUUGUGUAGCGGUGAAAUGCAUAGAUAUAACGAGGAACCCCAAUUGCGUAGGCAGCUUACUAAACUAUAACUGACGCUCAUGCACGAAAGCGUGGGUAUCCAACAGG
rnacentral:rRNA from 1 species